CCACAGAGCUGACCAGGAAGGAUGGCCAGGAUGCCAUGCUGUGUCCAAUGUCUACACUGCAGUCAAUUUCUCCCUCCAUCUGAUAGAAGCCAGGUGGCAGCCAUGGUGGGGGCACCAUGGGGUGAAGGAGGAGCUCCUUCCCUCCUGCAGCCUUGGGCCAGGCGGGCAGAUGAGACCUCACACAAGCAUGGCAGCUCCCGUGGACCCUGUCCCCAUCCCCGCCGGCCCGAUGCCCAGCAGCACCGUCCAUUCCAUGGCCUCCAGGUCUCGCGGACCUCAGCUCUGCCCGGCGGGACCACCAUGGUGCUAGGUUCCGUCCCCCGGAGGGACGCGGUGGCCUCCCCCUCCCCCCCCCCCGCCCCAUGCAGACCUGAGGAGGGCUUGGCUGACCGCCAAUCAUUGGCGGAGUCCACAGCUCAUCACGCACUGAGUUGGCGGAGCCGCCGCUUCCCCUGGACACAGACUUCCCCUUCUUGUCCCCUCAGAUGGAGAUGAUGCCUAAAGGACGAAUGGAAGCUCAGGGAAUAGUAGUUCAGGGAUAGCUCAGUGGUUAAGAGCGCCGACCACUCUACCUCGUUCAAUUCCAGUAGCGGCAUUAUGGCUCAAAGCCAUCUGUAAUGAUUUUUGGUGCCCUCUUCUGUUGUGUGUCUGAAGAUGGCUACUGUGCACUCACAAAAGUAAAAUAAGCAAAUCUUUAAAAAAAAAAAAGAAAGAAAAAACUCAGACACCAUUAAAGAAUUAUUCCUUUCGCUCCUAUCUGAUGAUGAUGUGUGUGUGUAUAUAUAUGUAUAUAUAUAUGUGUGUAUGUGUAUAUAUACAUAUAUACAUAUAUACAUAUAUACAUAUA
rnacentral:lncRNA from 1 species